CAGCCAACCUGGAAACCCAGUCCUCGAGUGGGAGGAGGCGGAGCCUCCAGGCCUCCUGGGAGCUGGAAAUUCCCACCCGGCAGAGGAAUGCAGCCUCAUUCUUGGGGCCGCUCAGAAGUGCCUUGUCAAAGGCAGGAUGUCCCCAGGAAUGCAGGUUCUUACAGCGCUUAAAUGAGAAACACUGCACCGUGUCCAUCCAGCACACGGCAACACCCAAGAACUGUGGGCCACUAUGAUCGAGGUCUUCAUGAUUUCCUGAAGGAGGGAGAUUUUAACAACAUCAGCGAAACCAGAAACAACCUUAGCCAAGAUGGCAACUCCCAAGUUGUAUACGCUUCACUUGUGGGGAAAAAAGCUACUUUAAUAUCCCCAUUGACAUGCUUUUUAAAUCCUUCUUUUUAUUUAA